UACGUAGGGUGCAAGCGUUAUCCGGAAUUAUUGGGCGUAAGAGCUACGUAGGCGGUUUGUCGCGUCUGCUGUGAAAACUGGGGGCUCAACCCCCAGCCUGCAGUGGGUACGGGCAGACUAGAGUGCGGUAGGGGAGAUUGGGAAUUCCUGGUGUAGCGGUGGAAUGCGCAGAUAUCAGGAGGAACACCGAUGGCGAAGGCAGAUCGUCUCGGGCCGUGAACCUAGACUGAGGAGCGAAAGCAUGGGGAGCGAACAGG
rnacentral:rRNA from 1 species